GAAAGUAAGCAAGGGCGCAUGGAGGAUGCCUAGGCUCUCGAAGGCGAAGAAGGACGUGAUAAGCUGCGAAAAGCUACGGUAAGGAGCAAAUAUCCGCUGACCCGUAGAUCUCCGAAUGGGGCAACCCGUCGUCGGAAGGCGACACACUGCAAAGCAGUGGGCAAACGUGGGGAACUGAAACAUCUCAUUACCCACAGGAAAAGAAAAUAACAAUGAUUCCGCCAGUAGUGGCGAGCGAACGCGGAAUAGCCCAAACCGUUCCUGUUUCGGCAGGAUCGGGGUAGAAGGACCGCCAAUAAAGGCAAGAGCGGAGGAAGUCGAACCAAUUGGAAAGUUGGAUCAAAGAAGGUGACAAUCCCGUAGACGAAUCCGAAGCGAAGCCGAGGCGGCACCUGAGUAGUGCGGGACACGAGAAAUCCUGUAUGAAUCCGCGGGGACCAUCCCGUAAGGCUAAAUACUCCCGAGAGACCGAUAGCGAACCAGUACUGUGAAGGAAAGGUGAAAAGAACCUCGAACAGAGGAGUGAAACAGACCCUGAAACCAUGCGCCUACAAGCGGUCGGAGCUUCUAUAAGGAGUGACGGCGUGCCUUUUGCAUAAUGAACCUACGAGUUACUCUUGCCGGCGAGGCUAAGGGCUUCAGGCCCGGAGCCGAAGCGAAAGCGAGUCUGAACAGGGCGCGAUAGUCGGCAGGAGUAGACGCGAAACCAAGUGAUCUACCCAUGAGCAGGUUGAAGGUUGGGUAACACCAACUGGAGGACCGCACCGGUAAACGUUGAAAAGUUUUCGGAUGACUUGUGGGUAGGGGUGAAAGGCUAAUCAAACUUGGAGAUAGCUCGUACUCCCCGAAAUGCAUUUAGGUGCAGCCUUCGGGGCUGAGUUGAAGAGGUAGAGCGACUGAUAAGAUGCGAGGGCUUCACCGCCUAUCAAGUCUUGAUAAACUCCGAAUGCUUCAACUUUUACCCGAGGAGUGAGGGCAUGGGUGCUAAGGUCCAUGUCCGAGAGGGAAAUAACCCAGACCAUCAGCUAAGGUCCCGAAAUAAUAGCUAAGUUGAAUUAACGAAGUAGAAUUGCAAAGACAGCUAGGAUGUUGGCUUGGAAGCAGCCAUUCAUUUAAAGAGUGCGUAACAGCUCACUAGUCGAGGAAUUCUGCGUGGAUAAUAAUCGGGCAUAAGCUAUUUACCGAAGCUAUGGAAUAUGCAAAUAUUGGUAGGGGAGCAUUCCACGGGUCGCAGAAGGCCUGUCUCGAGACAGGCUGGAGACAGUGGAAAAGCAAAUGUAGGUAUAAGUAACGAUAAAGGAGGCGAGAAACCUCCUCGCCGCAAGACCAAGGGUUCCUGAUCAACGCUAAUCGGAUCAGGGUAAGUCGGGCCCUAAGGCGCAGCCGAACGGCGCAGCCGAUGGCAGAAACGGUUAAUAUUCCGUUACUGAAUGUAAGAGUGAUGCGGAGACGGAGCAGUGACACAUCCGCCUGCAGACGGAAUAGCAGGUUAAAGAGUGUAGAUAAUAUUUCGGUAGGCAAAUCCGCCGGGAUAGUCGAACUUGACAGUACCGGGCGUCCUCGGACAACCGGAUAGCGAUGGUAAUCAGACUCCCAAGAAAAUCCGCUAAACAUAUGUUACAUUCACCCGUACCCCAAACGGACACACGUGGUUGGGUAGAAUAUACCAAGGCGCUCGAGAGAUUCACGGUUAAGGAACUAGGCAAAUUGACCCUGUAACUUCGGGAAAAAGGGUCCCAACGUCAAAGUUGGGCGCAGAGAAUAGGUCCAGGCAACUGUUUAACAAAAACACAGGGCUGUGCGAAAUUGAAAGAUGAAGUAUACAGCCUGACACCUGCCCGGUGCUGGAAGGUUAAGAGGAGACGUCAUCGCAAGAGAAGCGUAGAAUUGAAGCCCCAGUAAACGGCGGCCGUAACUAUAACGGUCCUAAGGUAGCGAAAUUCCUUGUCGGGUAAGUUCCGACCUGCACGAAUGGUGUAAUGAUCUGGACACUGUCUCAACCGUGAGCUCGGUGAAAUUGUAGUAUCGGUGAAGAUGCCGAUUACCCGCGAUGGGACGAAAAGACCCCGUGAACCUUUACUAUAGCUUUACAUUGAAUUUGGGCAGACGAUGUGUAGGAUAGGCCGGAGGCUUUGAAGGGGGUACGCCAGUAUCCUUGGAGCCGCCGUUGAAAUACGGCCCUUCGGUUGUUUGAGUUCUAACUCCUAGGCAGGAGGACACUGUAUGGUGGGUAGUUUGACUGGGGUGGUCGCCUCCAAAAGCGUAACGGAGGCUUCUAAAGGUGCCCUCAGACCGAUUGGUAACCGGUCGCAGAGUGUAAUGGCAUAAGGGCGCUUGACUGGGAGAGAUACAACUCGAUCAGGUAGGAAACUAGAGCAUAGUGAUCCGGUGGUUCCGCAUGGAAGGGCCAUCGCUCAAAGGAUAAAAGGUACUCCGGGGAUAACAGGCUGAUCAUUCCCAAGAGCUCAUAUCGACGGAAUGGUUUGGCACCUCGAUGUCGGCUCGUCACAUCCUGGGGCUGGAGAAGGUCCCAAGGGUUGGGCUGUUCGCCCAUUAAAGUGGCACGCGAGCUGGGUUCAGAACGUCGUGAGACAGUUCGGUCUCUA
rnacentral:rRNA from 1 species